UUUCCAAAGUACGUGCUUGGGGAGUUGAUGGAAUGUGACAUGUGCUUGAACCCAAUCCUCGAGCGUUUGAAUAUUUGCAUCGGUAGGCUAAGGCCGGUCACUAUACGACUGAGUUUGGUGAGGGAGAUGGUUAUACGCUGGCUUGUGCGGCUUGGAUUGAAACAGAUCCGGUUGGCUAGUGCUGGUCACUAUACGACCGAGUCUCACCACGAGGCGCCGUCAACGAGUCGGGUUGUUUGGGAAUGCAGCCCAAAUCGGGCGGUAAACUCCGUCCAAGGCUAAAUACAGGCGAGAGACCAAUAGCGAACAAGUGCCACGAGGGAAAGAUGAAAAGGACUUUGAAAAGAGAGUCAAAGAGUGCUUGAAAUUGCCGCGAGGGAAGCGGAUGGGGGCCGGCGAUGCGCCCCGGUCGUAUGCGGAACGGCUUCUGGUGGUCCGCCGAUCGGCUCGGGGCGUGGACUGUUGUCGGUUGCACCGGCGGCCUAAGCCUGGGGGCCUUAGGUGCCUCCAGUAGCCGUCGUCGGCACGGCCGGUUCUUGCGCGCCUAACGGCGUGUCCCUCGGGAUGCUGCGCUGCAACGGCCUGCGGGCUCCCCAUCUGACCCGUCUUGAAACACGGACCAAGGAGUCUGACAUGCGUGCGAGUCGACGGGUUCUUAAACCUGGGAUGCGCAAGGAAGCUGACGAGCGGGAGGCCCUCACAAGCCGCACCGCUUCCCGACCCUAAUCUUCUGUGAAGGGUUCGAGUUGGAGCCCGCCAGUCGGGACCCGAAAGAUGGUGAACUAUGCCUGAGCAGGGCGAAGCUAGAGGAAACUCUGGUGGAGGCUCCAAGCGAUACUGACGUGCAAAUUGUUCGUCUGACUUGGGUAUAGGGGCGAAAGACUAACCGAACCAUCUAGUAGCUGGUUCCCUCCGAAGUUUCCCUUAGGAUAGUUGGAGCCCAUUACGAGUUCUAUCGGGUAAAGCCAAUGAUUAGAGGCAUCGGGGGCGCAACGCCCUCGACCUAUUCUCAAACUUUAAAUAGGUAGGACGGCACGGCUGCUCCGGUGAGCCGUGCCAUGGAAUCGGGAGCUCCAAGUGGGCCAUUUUUGGUAAGCAGAACUGGCGAUGCGGGAUGAACUGGAAGCGGGUUACGGUGCCGAACUGCGCGCUAACCUAGAACCCACAAAGGGUGUUGGUCGAUUAAGACAGCAGGACGGUGGUCAUGGAAGUCGAAAUCCGCUAAGGAGUGUGUAACAACUCACCUGCCGAAUGAACUAGCCCCGAAAAUGGAUGGCGCUAAAGCCCGCGACCCACACCCGGCCAUUUGGGCGAGCGCCAUGCCCUGAUGAGUAGGAGGGCACGGCGGCCGCUGCAAAACCCGGGGCGCGAGCCUGGGCGGAGCGGCCGUCGGUGCAGAUCUUGGUGGUAGUAGCAAAUAUUCAAAUGAGAACUUUGAAGGCCGAAGAGGAGAAAGGUUCCAUGUGAACGGCACUUGCACAUGGGUAAGCCGAUCCUAAGGGACGGGGUAACCCCGGCUGACAGCGCGAUCCCGCGUGUUGCCCGAAAGGGAAUCGGGUUAAGAUUUCCCGAUCCGGGACGUGGCGGUUGACGGCGACGUUAGGAAGUCCGGAGACGCCGGCGGGGGCCUCGGGAAGAGUUAUCUUUUCUGCUUAACGGCCUGCCAACCCUGGAAACGGUUCAGCCGGAGGUAGGGUCCAGCGGUCAGAAGAGCACCGCACGUCGCACGGUGUCCGGUGCGCCCCCGGCGGCCCAUGAAAAUCCGGAGGACCGAGUACCGUCCACGCCCGGUCGUACUCAUAACCGCAUCAGGUCUCCAACAACGACACCCAAACAUUAAAUCAUAUGCAAACGGGUAGAAACGGAAGAUGGAGGGAUGAAUUCAGCCAUCACACGUGUGUUGUAGGUCACGAGAGGCAAAAAACCUAGGCCGAACGUUUUCACCGAAAUUGGUUGUUUUCGUUCCGGUCGCCCGUCAGCCCGUUUUUGGCCUGCCGUGAGCUAUAGCACACUUUUUUCGACCGUUUUCACCCGCGGCCGUUUUCAUCCCUCCAUCUUCUGUCUCCCCCCAUUUGCAUAUGAUUCCAUGUCCUGGUGUCGUUUCCAAAUGUUUUAAUCGAAAUCGGCUGUUUUUGUUCUGGUCACCCGUCAGCCCGUUUUUGGCCUCCCGUCAGCUAUAGCAUGCGGUUUUUGACUGUUUUCACCCGCAGUCGUUUUCAUCCCCCCAUCUUUCAUUUCUACUCAUUUGCAGAUGAUUCCAUGUCUGGGUGUCGUUUCCAAACGUUUCACCGAAAUCGGCUAUUUUUGUUCCGGUCGCCUGUCAGCCCGUGUUUGCAUCCCGUGAGCUACAGCACACGGUUUUCGACCGUUUUCAUCCGCGGCCGUUUUCAUCCCUCCAUCUUCCGUCUUCCCCCGUUUGCAUAUCAUUCCAUGUCUGGGUGUCAUUUCCAAAUUUUUUUCACCGAAAUCGGUUGUUUUCGUUCCGGUCGCCCAUCAGCCCGUUUUUGGCCUCCCGUGCACAUGAUUUUCGACCGUGUUAGCCUGUGGCCGUUUUUAUCCCUCCAUGAUCCAUCUCCACCCAUAUGCGUAUGACUCCAUAUCU
rnacentral:rRNA from 1 species